CUUUGAUCGCUAUCCUUAUCGACAGAUUUAGAUGCCUGCGAGCAUGGCUCCUAAAAACAGUGAUUUCUUUUUUGUGUUGCUCUUGUCUGCUAUUUUCCUUUCGUCUUUGGUUGAGACAAUAAGGGCACGGGAGAUUUCUUCUUCAAACACCAAUAACAAUAUUGCUCUUCCCCUUCAUAAACAGGUUGAAAUUCAUCCUCCCUACAAUUUACGGUCGGCAAUACAUCUUCUUCAAACUAAGAAGCCAGAUAGAGCUUUUGAUGACAGCAAGGAAUGUCCUUACAAGUGGUGCAAACCAGAUGGAAAUGGAAGGCAUUAAGGGGUAAAUCGCCCUUAACAUGAUCUAAUUUGAUCAGGUUUUGGUCAGCCUUAGUUGGGUAUCAGAUCUGGUUUGGAUCAAGUUAGCGUGAUCCAAAUCUGACUUCUUUACGUCAGUAGAUUACAAUUUUCCCUUCUUUUUCCUAUUCUAGGUAUUUUGAUGUUGUUGCUUAUUUAUAAGUGUUAGACAGUGUAUGCCAUCAGCUUCAUAUGUAUGCUGACAUUUAUCGUUGAAUAAAAUCAGUAUAUUAUUAUUUCA